GACGAACGCUGGCGGCGUGCUUAACACAUGCAAGUCGAACGGAAAGGCCCUGCUUUUGUGGGGUGCUCGAGUGGCGAACGGGUGAGUAACACGUGAGUAACCUGCCCUUGACUUUGGGAUAACUUCAGGAAACUGGGGCUAAUACCGGAUAGGAGCUCCUGCUGCAUGGUGGGGGUUGGAAAGUUUCGGCGGUUGGGGAUGGACUCGCGGUUUAUCAGCUUGUUGGUGGGGUAGUGGCUUACCAAGGCUUUGACGGGUAGCCGGCCUGAGAGGGUGACCGGCCACAUUGGGACUGAGAUACGGCCCAGACUCCUACGGGAGGCAGCAGUGGGGAAUAUUGCACAAUGGGCGGAAGCCUGAUGCAGCAACGCCGCGUGCGGGAUGACGGCCUUCGGGCUGUAAACCGCUUUCGCCUGUGACGAAGCGUGAGUGACGGUAAUGGGUAAAGAAGCACCGGCUAACUACGUG
rnacentral:rRNA from 1 species